rnacentral:hammerhead_ribozyme from 1 species
AUCCAACUGACGAAUCCCAGAUAGGAUGAAACACAUGCCCUGGAU